rnacentral:rRNA from 1 species
GAUGAACGCUAGCGGCAGGCCUAACACAUGCAAGUCGAGGGGUAACAGGGAGAAGCUUGCUUCUUGCUGACGACCGGCGCACGGGUGCGGAACGCGUAUGGAACCUGCCCCUGUCAGGGGAAUAGCCCAGAGAAACUUGGAUUAAUGCCCCAUGGUACCGGGAUAUCGCAUGAUAUCCCGGUUAAAGAUUUAUCGGACAGGGACGGCCAUGCGUACCAUUAGUUAGUCGGUGGGGUAACGGCCCACCAAGGCAGCGAUGGUUAGGGGCCCUGAGAGGGGGAUCCCCCACACUGGUACUGAGACACGGACCAG